GUGUUCGGACCUCGGAACGAGUAAGGACCCCUCACCUUAUUUCCUAUCACGGUUUUAAAGUUCAAUAAAUGAUAAAACGGUAUUUCAUGAAUCAACGAAUGUGUGAAAUUGCUUAAGGUCGCUAAUGGAGCCCAAGUCUAGUGUAUUUGUCGGUUAACUGUUAUUUGACAUGUUUUACAGUUUUAAAUGUAGCAUGAGGUUCGAUGUUUUCAUUUUAUAGUUUCGUGUGCAUGUUUUACUGUUUUAUUGAUUAUGGAUUAAAUGACCGGGAUAUUGAUGCUGUAUGUUGUCUGUUUAGCAUAAAUUACUGUUUGCUUGCUUGUAUGUGGAUUAAUGAUGCUGACUGAGGAAAAAGAGAAUGAACAAUUAUGUAAAUGGAUAAUGGUAUAAUGUGGUCAGCCUGACUAGAUAUCCUGGGAGAUGGUGGACGGACCGGGUCCGUAGGGAACCCUACCGGGAUUGUGGUCUCCCAUACCGGACGGGGUAUGGAGAUCUUAUGUGUUUUGGCGCCCAUACCGGACGGGGUAUGGGGAUGGCCCUGGAAUUUGAUUUCAAGUGUUAAGGAUUAACGGGUAGCGGGACCCCUAUGGAUCCCCAUGGAUACUAGUGGGCUGGUGAAUUAGGAAAAUAUGUUGUGUAACGAUUGAAUUACGAAAAGUGCGAUAGGUAUUAUGUUAUACAGUUCAUAUAUAUGUUUCCAUGAUGAUGAUGAUGUUAUUGCUUUCGUAUAUUGUUUUAUGAAUUUCACCGAGGCAAGUAAAUGGUAAAGGUUUAUUUAUCGCUAAAAGGAUUUGUUGUAAAUUAUGCUCCAUUGGUCUUUUUGUGUUUUUUACCCACCUUUACCUCCGUGACGGUGAGAUAUCGUGAUGUCUUUACUGGGAUAGUGUAGCUCAUUCCUUAUUUAAUCAUUUCAGAUCAAGAGGACAUCGUUCCCGAGCCGAUUCCGCAGGAGGACGACGAAGGGGACGCCUAAAGACUCCAUAGUCACAUUCGUAGUUUUUACUUUCAAGUUUCUCCUUUAGGUAGUUUAAUCUUUUAUAUUUUGUGAGCAAGUUUCGGUUUCAGUGUAAGGGAUGUUAUUCAAAUUUUGACUUCGCUUCCGCAUUUGAUAUUUAUAAUAUAAAUUCCAUUAUGAAUUUCCGGGGCUGCUACAUAAAAAGAGUACACAUCUAAAUGAUUAAUGUACUUAUUACAUACAUGUUAAGUAACUUUCUCAUUUGUCUCACAGGAAUAUGCCGAACAACAUUUGACGUUGAGAUCUGUAACAUUUAUCAGAUAUUAUCAUAACUAUUGGUAAAAGAUAAAUAAUGUAAGAAUGAAUAAAAACACUAUGCACAAAAAAAAAAGAUUUAUUAGGUUACAUAUUAGUUAGUAGACUAUCUAAUUGUAAGUAGUAUAUUUUAAAUUUUGUUUCUAUAAUUUUCUAAAAAAAAUUAAAAUAAAUCGAUAAUACUUAGAUAAUCUACCAACUCAUUUAAAAUUUUGAAGUAUUAUUCGAUAAAAAUAUAUUACCAGAUGAGGAAAAUGUUGUCUGAUGAUCAUGAGUAAGUAUCUUGCAUUUUUUUAAACAUUCAAAUAAAUAAACUCUUCGAAUUUUACCCAAGCAUGUGCUUAAACAUUUAAGUUCGCAAUCUUUGUCAACUUUGGCUUGCACAGCCACCAUAAGCACAAAUAGCAGGAUGUUGAUGACCACACCUCUACUCAUUUUCUUUUAUUUGUGUUUUUACUCCAACCCAUCUAUUAUUUAUAAAGUCUUCUAUCACUUUACAAUUUACCAAAGAAGUUUGUAACCCACCAUAAAUAUAAGAUUAUAAUAAUAUGAUAAUAAAUUAUGUGUAACAUUUUUAUAAUAAAAAAGUACUUAGGUAGGUAUCCACUCAGAAAAGGACAAAUUAUAUAUCAAAUCUCUACCAUGAAUAUAGGGGGAGUUACUUAUGAUUAAAUAAAAAAUUCAUUAAUGGAUGUCUAAAAAAAUUUCAAAUACAUUAAAUGAGCAGUUACAUAUUUUUAAAAUUAAUAAAAAAUAUUUGAGAAAUAUCUGUUGUAUAUUUGAUAUAUUUUUAGUUGAUUCAUGAAAAAUGAAAAAACCUCAAUCAAGCUGUGAGCUAUAUUCUCAUAUUAUAAUUGAAAAAUGUUUUGAUUUUUAUUUAAAAUAAGAUUACAUGAAUCCAAUUUUAAGUUAAAAUUAUGCCUAAACCUAAAUUAGAGAAAGUAAACGGUAUAUGCUUUCUAAAUUACUUAGAAAUAGUAGGUGAGCAGAAUUGUAUAUGUGGCAACUGCAAUUUUACCAGUCUGUCCGUCCUCAAUAAUUAAUUAUGGCUGACCACGCCCUAUAUGGAUCAUCAAAUUUGAUGUGAUCCUAGACAACCAAAAAUUAGUUCCAAAGAUGCAAUCUUGCAUCAAUGAGGAAUGUCCAGAAUAGAAAAGUAAUUUCAUCCCUAACUACUUUCCUAAUUGGGAUUAUUCCAAGAGAUGGAACAAGUUUGUUAAGCUAAAAGACUUAAGACUCAAGUAAGAUUAAUGGACUUGAAAAAUUAUAAGAAAGCCCACACCUUACGAAGAUGGCAUGUCAGAGGCACUCCCGAGGGGUGACCCGAGUCACUCGACCCGCUAGACCCAACUCAGGCUAGCGGGCUACUCAGCCAAGAAGAACAUGUGGCCCAUGCCGCAUGUCCCUAUAGAUUGGCCGACUGAGGCCCAUCAGGAAGACCAGAAGGUCGGCCCUCAUCCCGAGGCCUGAUCCAGCAGACUCGCACCCGAGGGAGAAGAAACCAGGCUGAACGUUUGGCCCAACAGUAGUUGUUGGCCUAGUCGAGGAAAAACCCAGGCGGGCCGCGAAGCCGUGAGGCCACGUGAACACAGGCCUGGCCCAAACUGCUGCACACGUACGGGCUUCCUUUACUCGCAUGAGUAAUGUGUGUGGUGUGUGUGAGAGAGAGGAAGAAGUGGCAAGCUUUUGGACUUCUUUUCACCACAUGCUCCAUGUGAUUUUCCAUCCCAAAUUCCACAAAAUUCACAUGGUAAUUAUCAUCUCAUUAUUUGAUUAUUAUUAUUUAAAUUAAGAUGAUUAAUUAUAUAAUAUUUUAAGCUUAGGGUUAUCCUAAACUAUUAUUUUAUUAUAUUAUUUAUCUCAUUAUUUUAAUGUAAUUUUCACAUGUUUUUUUACAUGGAAUUCAAAUGGGAUACGUAUUAAGAUAUUUUAAUAAUUAUUUUAUUAUAAGUGUAUCCUUUAGGAUUAUUUAAUUGAUUUAUUUGAGAUAUAAUAAUUAUUUUAUUGUGUAAUUAUCCUAAAUUUAGAUACAAUUUUAUUUAGAGUAUCAUUUUAUGAAAUUAUUCCAAGAGCUUGUAGUCAUCUGGAUUGUCUGGAAAAGGCUAUAAAUAAGUUUCUGUCCAUAGGUUAUAAAAAAUAAGUUACAGUCAAUUUGAGAGAAUUCGUGAAAGCUUAGGCUUUUUUUCUUUUUAGUAUUUUUGCUAAAUUAGCUUAUUCAAGUUCUUCGGAAAACAGGAGUCUUCAGAAGUCUUACUGAGCAAAGGAUCGAGGAUCAACUUAUUGGUAAGUCCGUGGUAUUUUUCUUUUCCUUAUUUCACUUUCCUAAUCUUUAUUUUUACAUUUUUUUAGGAUUAUAGAUCCAAUUAGAGGGAGGAGUUUAUCUAGGCGAUUAUAGUUUCAAUAUUAAGUGGGUUAUAGGAGUUGAUUUGAUCCUCCCCAUGCCCUCACGCAUCAUUUGGUAUCAGAGCUUAGGCUCCUAAAAACCUAAAUAUAUUUUUAUUUGUUUUCAACAUUUUAUUCAUUAACAAUUCAAAUUAAUUUUUGAUUUGUCCGUAUUGCAUCCUGCUUGAAUUCAUACCUAUCUAUUCAAUUCAAGUAAUUCGUGUUUAUUAUUAAAAAGUAUUAUAUAUAUCAAAAAUACCCAAAAUAUUCCAAUUGCACCUCAUAAGGCAAUUGACAUGUUGUUUGCAUUUUACAUCACAAAAGCAUAAUAGCCACCUAACUGGUGACUGGAAAUCCUUUGAGAAAUCGAAGGCAAAGUAUGUUACCUAACGGGUGUGAGCGAAAACUUUUAUUUUCAUUCCGCACAUUGUUAACAUUUAAUUUUCGAAUUACAUUUCUGUAAUUCUGCAUCAACAUUGCAUGAAGAAACUUGACCAGUUGUAGGGGUAGCUGACAAAUUGAGGGUAAUAUAGGUAAAUACAUCUUCUAGUUAUAUCCAUUGGGAUUGAUCGGAUUCCUAUGUAUUAGUUCGAAUUGUCAUUCUUUGUGAUCUACAUUUCAAUCUUCUAUUUUAUUUUUAUUCCAUUAUAAAAAAAUUAGGUGACUAAUCGAUUCUAGUUGUUUAACACAUAAAAAACACACUAGUCUUUUUUCUAUGUGCUUGUUUAUGAGCUUCCAUAGAAAUCAGAUCUUUUUAGGGUUCUUUGUUGUGUCGUAAGGAUUAACAUACAAAUCCGAUUCAAGUGAUUUCGAUUCCAGACGCUCAACUCGACAGAAGAAAUGGUCAAUUGAGAGAUUCUGAGGUAAACAUGAGUGAAGGUGAGGGAGAGAUUUUCUUUCAUUAACCUUUACCUUGCAGGGAAAUUCACUAUGUUUCAAUAAACUGACAUACUUCCAUUAUGUGAAAGUAAUUUCCUUGUUAUCUGAAGAGCUCUCAACGUGUAAGUUAUGAGUGAAGGCAAUGAGUAGAGGAAGAACAUUUUUCACACAUAAUGCCUUGUCAAUGGUAAGGUAUGUGGAAUGAUCAUUGUAGUGGUAGUUGUACUAAUGUGGCAAGCACUCUACUCGUGGAAAGAGCUAGGUUGACAUACAUCAAGCAUUCGAAUCUCUAUCGAUUAAAAUGUUUGAAUGAAUAUGGUGAAGCCCAAGUUACCGAAGAAGUCAUACUACCAUUCUCCAUCAGAAAAUAUCACGACGAGGUAUGUUGUGAUAUCGUACCUAUGCAUGUCAAACACUUGAUACUUUGGAGACCUUGGCAGUUUGACAGACAGGUACAACAUAGUAGUUGCGCCAACUAAUACUCAUUGUGAAAGGACGGUCUGAAUCAUGUUCUUAUGCCUUUAUCACCAAAAGAGGCACAUGAAAAUCAUGUUAAAAUUAAAUAGUCCUUUCAUGAAUACUCAAAGAGAGCAUAAGAGAUAGAAAAGGUCGAAAAAGAAACUAGUGGUCCAUUAAGCAUAAAAAAAGCCAGACAAACAACUAAAGAUUUUCUAUUAAUAGAAAAACAUAGAGCGAAAAAAAACAAGCGUCCUGAUCACAGAGACACAAUGUUAAGUAAUGUCUCUUAUAAAAAUGUAACUUUGAUUGUCCUUACCUACAGGGAGAUUCAUUUUGACCUUAACCAUUAUUUGCAUAUUCGUAUUGUUUUUCUCUUACAGAUAAUUAUCAUGACAAGUGGGCUACAAAGAUUUGAUCCCGAUCCCAAAAGAAUUGUUAAUCAAGUCAUGAAGUGCAUAAACAAUAAAACAAACAUGCCUGGGAGGUAUGGUAUGUUUUCUAUUGCAAUCACUAAUAUUUUUCCCUUGUGAUGAAGGCCCAGGUUCGAGAACGAAUCUUUUUAAAGAAGGGGGAGAUGAUGUGAUCCUAGAAAAUCAAAAAUUAGUUCCAAAGAUGCAAUAUAACAUCAAUGAGGAAUGCCUAGAAUAUGAAAGUAAUUUCAUCCCAGAUUACUUUCCUAAUUGAGAUUAUUCCAAGAGAUUGCCCAAGUAAGAUUAAUGGAUUUGAAGAAUUGUAAAAAAGCCCACGCUCAACGAAGAUGGUGUGUUUGAGGUCGCGCAUGGAGGAAAGGCACCCGUGGGGGGGAAACCUGCGUCACCUAACCUGCUACCCGGCUUGCUAGGCCCAAUCCGUGGGCUAGCAGACAGUGCGCCCGAGAAGAAUGUAUGGCCCAUGCCGCACAUCCCUGCAGAUGGGCCGAUUGAGACCCAUCAGGAAGACCCGAAGGCCUGAUCCAACCAACCCGCAUUUGAGGGAGAAGAAACUGGGCCGAAUGUCUGCCCCAGCGAGUCGGCCCAGUAGCCUAGCCUAGCAGCAGCCGCAUGCCCAGUUGAGGAGAAACCCGAGCACGUCGUGGAGCCAUGAGGCCUGAUGGUUGCGUGCAUGCAGGCUCGGCCUGAGCCGCACGAGCACGUGCGAGCUUCCCUAACCCACACGGGUGAGGUGUGUGAUGUGUGUGGGAGAGGGGAACAAGUGGCAAGCUUUUGAACUUCUUUUCACCACAUGCUCCAUGUGAUUUUCCAUCCCAAAUUCCAUAAAAUUCACAUGGUAAUUAUCACCUCAUUAUUUAAUUAUUAUUAUUUAAAUUAAAAUGAUUAAUUAUAUAAUAUUUUAAUCUUAGGGUUAUCCUAAGCUAUUAUUUCAUUAUAUUAUUUAUCUUAUUAUUUUAAUAUAAUUUCCACAUGUGUUUUACAUGGAAGUCACAUGGGAUAAGUAUUAAGAUAUUUUAAUUAUUAUUUUACUGUAAGUAUAUCCUUUAGGAUUAUUUAAUUAAUUUAUUUAGGAUAGAAUAAUUAUUUUAUUGUGUAAUUAUCCUAUAUUUAGAUAUAAUUUUAUCUUGGGUAUUAUUUUAUUGAAUUAUCCCAAGAAUUUAUACUUAUCUAAAUUGUCCAGGAGAGGCUACAAAUAAACUUUUGCCAAUAGGUUGUAAACACACAAAUUACAAUCAAUUUGAGAGAAUUCUUGAAAGCUUAAGCUUUUUUUCUUUUUAACAUUUUUGCUAAAUUAGCUUAUUAAAGUUCUUCGGAAAGCAGGAGUCUUCAGAAGUUUUAUUGAGCAAAGGAGCGGGGAUCAACUUAUUGAUAACUCCAUGGCAUUUUUUCUUUCUUUGUUUUAUUUUUCUAGUCUUUGUUUUUGCUUUCCUUUUAAGAUUGUAAAUUCAAUUAGAGGGAAGGGUUUAUCUAAGCGGUUAUAGUUUCGGUAUUGCAUUUGUUGAAUGAGUUAUAGGAGUUGACUCAAACCUCCCCAUACCCUCCCCUGUCAAAAUCAAUAACAAUAAGUCUUGUUUUGCUUUUACUUUUGUCCUUAACCUUUAUAUCCUUAAAAUUAAGAAAUUGUCCUUUCGUUUUGCUUCCAAUUUGUUCUCUGUCAAUUUUUUAGUUACUUAGAAAUAUUUUUGCAUUUCAUUAUAAAUUUUAUUUGAGAUUUGAAAAUCUUGAAAGUGAUUAUUUUAGAAUGUUUAUUAAACAUUUAGGUUAGUUUCAGCUUGACCCUUAUGGUUUGAUUUUUUUUUUUUCACUUUAGGACCCUGUGUUUUUCUUUUUGUUGACAAUUUAGUACUUUGUGAUUUAUUUGUUGAAUAUAUAUAUAUAUAUGUGAACAUUGUUAACAAGAAAGAAAAUUUUGUUACACGGGCCACUCCACAAGCUGACACGUGACACCAGAUAAAGAAAAAUGAUUAACUUUGACAUUAACAAUACUAAUUAAAAUUAAUCAUGAUUAAAAACAUUUAGAUUGAUUUUGAAAACAAAAGAAAAAUAAUUAUUCCUUGCUUCGAAGCCAACAAAUUCUUCCUUCUUUGCUUCUUCUCUUUUUCAUUAUUCACUUCUCCAACUUCCUCCACAUGAAUAAAAAAUUGUAGGUUAUUAGUUGGCACCCUUCUUUGUCAUCUCUGCUUUUUUUCUUACUUUAAUAAUCAAGAGAAAACCCUAAUAGAGAUCACCUUUGUGUCCUCCCCUCUACAUCUUAUUUUUGCUUAGAGUACUUUCACUUUAACCUAGUAAAUGUUUCUUAAUGUAUAUCUUUUCUUAAUUAAAAUUUAAUUUCUACUUAGGGUUUUCUUCCCUAAUUAAACUGAUAAUUUAUGUAUAUCUUUUGCUACAAGUGGUUGGGCCGAAACGUUUUGGGCUUUUGUUCAAUAGAUAGGGAUUGGGUUGGGGUUUUUCUUUGAGUUUUGUUUUGGGUUUGGGUCAUAUAAUAAUAAUAAUAAUAAUAAUUGUGAAAAGUUUUAAAGAAUAAAAAUUAGUUGGGAUAAAAUUAAAAAUUCCUACACGAUCUUAACUCUGCUCACUCAGAAUAGUAAUUCGCAUACGUCAGCUAAUUAAAUGAGACUGAUAUAUCAUAUUUUUAGUACAAAAUGGACUAUUAAGUUUAACUAAAAUCAAUUGAACAAUAAUUUGUAACUCAAAAAUAUGAAAAUUUUAAAAAUGAAACUCAAUUCAUUUAUUAGUAUAACAAAAGUACACGUCUAAACGAUGAAUGUACUUAUUACAUAUAUAUUAAGUAACCUUCUUGCAUGUCUCAUAGGAAGAUACCGAACAUCAUUUGGUCUUGAGAUCUAUAACAUUUAUCAGGUAUUAUUACUACAACCAUUAGUAAAAGAAAAAUGACGUGAGAAGGAAUAAAAAAAUACAUAUAAAAAAAUCUAUCAGGUUAUAUAUUAGUUAGUAAACUAUCUAAACAUAAGUAAUAAACUUUAAAUUAGGCUUAUAUAAUUUAUUGAAUUUUUUUUAAAAUAAACUGAUAAUGCUUAGAUGAUCUAUGAACUCAUUUAUAUUCUUAAAGCAAUAUUUGAUAAGAACAUAUUACCGGAUGACAAAAAUGUUGUGGGUUGAUCAUGAGCAUCUACCGUACAUUGGUUUAAACAUGCAGAUAAACAAGCCCCUCGGAAUCUACCCAAGCAUUUGCUCGAACAUCUUCGAUAGCAGUCUUCGUCAACUUUGGCUUCCAUAGCCACGACAAGAAGAAGCAACAGAAUGCUAAUAAUCAUACCUCUACCCAUUUUCUUCUAUCUGAUGUUUUUACUUCAGUCUGUUUAUUAUUUAUAGAGCUUUACUAGUACUUUACCAAUAAAUUAUAUUUAAUGUGCGGUUGUUUCUUCCAUGUAAAACUAGAAUUCCCUUAACUUUUUUCUUCACAAUACGCAAAAGAAUUUUGUAACCGGCCAUAAAUUUAAUAUUAUAAUUUUACGAUAAUAAAUUAUGUGUAACGUUUUCAUAAUUAAACAAAUUAAGUAAGAAAGUAUCCACUAAGAAAAGAACAAAUUAGAUGUCAAAUUUUAUUUAUUUAUAAUUAAAAAUAAAAUUCAUUAUGUGAUGUAUAAAAACAGAUUGAAUUCAUUAAACAAACAACUAAAUAAUUUUGAAAUUGAUUAUAAAAAUGAUCAAUUUAAGCAUUUUUUAGUAAUAAUAAUGGUAUAAUAUGUCCAAUAAAGUAUUAAAUAAUAAUUUUAGGAGAGGAAUAUUUUAGAAAUCUCUAUUUUAUAUUUGAGAUAUUUUUAAUUAAUUUUGUACAAAAUAAAAUAACUUCAAUCAAUCUAUGAAUUAUAUUCUCCUAUUAUAAAUUAAAAAAGUUUAGAUUUUUACUUAAAUGAGUCUAAAUUUUUCUUUUUUUGGGGUUACAAUUAUAAUUGUUGUAAAUCUGGUUCCUAAUUUUUGCUUCUAUUUUCGUCCUUAACCUUUUUGUCCUUAAAAUUAAGAAAUCAUCUUUUUAUUUAGCUUCUAAUUUUGUUUCUGCAUUUGUAAUACCUGAACCCAAAAAUCGGUCCGAGAUAAUUCUUUUUAUUUAAAAAAGCUAUAUAAAUAAUUAAUUAAAUUUAAUUUUAAUUUAAUCUUGUUUAAAUUAUUGAGAAAAAAAUGAAAUAAGGACAAAAUUGAAAAUAAUUUUGGAGAAAAGGGGUGAAAUUUUAACUAAAUGGAGUAUUUUUGAAAGAAAACUUGAAAACAGGGGGUAAAAUCGCAAAAAUAGAAAAUUUGGCCACGCGGGAUGACCCAGUCAGCAGUCAUGGCGAAUCAGAGCACGCCGCAUGGCAAAACACACUGACAUUGGCGCCACGUAGGCGAUCCGUGUGCUUGGCGAUCCGAUGGUCUUGAUCACGUCCCGCGCGCACAGAUAGCUCAGAUGCAUUCUCUCUUUAUGCGCGAUCGGACGGGCAAGGUCAAUCAAGGUGAACGAUCCAGAUUCGCUCACACAUUCGGCCUAAACAGGACACAAUCGGAUGGUUCUCCUCACUCCAUGUCGACGCCGAUGGAUGGUCCAGAUUGACAUGGGAUGGGUAUUUAAACAUGCGUCUCAGGGAACCCUAACCCUAGCCGCACUUACCCUUGCUGGAGAAGAACCAGACGUUGGAGACGAAGAUUGACGCUCGAUUACCGCCGCACUGGAGGCAAUGUCGACCUCCAAAAAAGGUAAAAUUUUCUCUUUAUCGCUCGAAAUUCAAUUUUGAGUCUCCCUAUGGCCAUAUCGAAGCAAAAAGAACAGCGGGUGAGCCGAAAACUGUGGGCAAAGCCCGACAGAGCCGCGGCGGUAAAAACCCUAAAACCUCUUCGAUGAGCCCAUUCUCGUUUUUUUUUUUAACACAAUUUUUUGACUAUUGCAUUCACCGUCCUUUUCUGUGCAGGUUAUCCGAAGAAGAAACCCCAGUCACGAAGGAGAAUUGGCGGAGCUGUCGCACCUGGAGACCCCCGCUGGUGGGUUCGAUUUUUUUUAUUUUCUGGCCAAUCGAGGCCCUUAACGUAUUUUUCUUCAGGGAUAUGUGUAAAACUGGCCAAAACUAGUCAAAACCGGUCAGGCUGAAGCGAACUGCCACCGUGGGCGGUGAAGCCAGCACCGGAGUAUGGUGGUGCCACCGUGCCGGAACCCUAAAAUUGGCCUAAAAGGGUUUUCAAUACCGAUUUUAGGUUUGAGGUAAUUUUAGGUACGUGACGAGUAUUUUGAUUCACGUAGAAAAAUUUAUGAAAUUCGAGACCCGUUAGGAGGCAUAGUAGAUAGUACAAUAUUUCAAAACACAGAUUCGGAUAAGGAUCCCUCACCCUAUUCUUUGUUACAGUAAAUUGAAGAUUAAUAAUCAAUAAUUAUGUAUUUUCUAAAAAAUUAGAAAUAUCUUUAAAAUAAUUAUAGGUCACUAGUGGAGUUGGAACUUGUUAGCUCAUAUUUGUCCUAAUUUCCUGCUUAUUUUUCUUGUACUGCCUAAAUUACUUAGUAUUAUAUUGUGCAUAUUUAAAUUAAUUAUUUUUAUGACUUUCUCGAUUAUUUGGUUUAUUUGGUUUCUCCUGCAUUAUUUAAUUGGUUAUCUGGUUACUUGAUUAUUCGGUUAUGUUAAACUAUAUCGUUUGCUUAAAUACCGUUUAAUUAAUCGGUGAAUAUGAAACGAGACAUUGGUAUUAUUUGGUAGUUGUUUGGUUGAUGAGAAUCUAAAUAAAUGAAAGCUUACUGGGCAUCCUGGGAAAGGGUGGACAUACCUGGUACAUAGGAAACUCUACCGUGGAUAUUACCUCAGUCGAAGGGGGCUGAGAAGUCCUAUACCGGAAGCAUUUUGGGAGAUAUGGUUGACCCUCAUACAGGACGGGGUAUCGAGGCGAUGUUGUUUUUGGCGCCCAUUACCGGACGGGAUAUGGAGACGACCGGGUUAAUUGUCAAAACUUGAUACUGUGUCUACGGGUAGAGGAAUAUCCAUAUGGACCCCUAAGGGUCCUAGUAAGUAGGUUAAAAGGAAGAAUUACUGAUUUUAUGUACGAAAUUAAAAUGUCACUUGGUUAUUUGUUUUCAUAACUUUUUUUUUUGAAAAAAUUCGUAACGGUAAAUAUAAAAUAAAACAUUUUAGAGUUAAAUGUAUUAGCUUAAAUUAAGGGCUCCAUUAGUUAUUUUGUAAUUUUUACCAACAUUUAGUUUUUUGUAUCAGUGAUUAGUGUGAUAUUCUUACUGGGUUAGUAUAGCUCACUCUUUCAUUAAUUAUUUUAUAUCAAGAAGACCAAGAUUCAGAUCCUGAUCAGCGAGAGAGUUGUGAGUAGUUCAUCUCUUGGACUCCCUUCAAGUGCUAGUGGAGGUUAACCCCUAUGAUAUCUAUUUAUUUGUUUUUAAUUACUGUUUGUUUUUUUUAAAGAAAUAAUAUAUAAGAGACAUUCCCGUAUUCCUAUUGGGAUUCCAAUUUAUUGUGUAAGGAAUGUAAAUCCUAAUUUUAUUAUUUGCUUCCGCAUUAAAGAUAUAAAUUCAUGUCAUUUAAAGUUUCGGGUCUUUACACCAUUAAUUUUAUAGUUAAUUUAAAAUUUAAACAUUAAGCAAAAUAAAAUAUAAUCUGAAAUAGUAUUUUGACGUAAUUAAAAUUCAAUGAUAAAUACAAAAUAAUAUUUGACAAUAGUUUAAAAUUUAAUGAUAAAUACAAAAUAAUAUUUGACAAUAGUUAAUUUUAUAUUUAUAAAAUACUAACACAUUUUUGACAUUCGAAAGUGCAACAAAUGUUCAAGGAAAUUGAAGUGAACUUUAAAACAUCAAGGAAAAUGAAAAGUGAAAGUUAAUUCAAGUACGAAAUGUAAAAAUUUUAUUUUUUAUUUUCUAUAUAAUUAGAUUAUUUAAUUUAAAGUUCAAAAAUUAUUAUUUUUGCAUUUUAUUCUAAAUUUUCUUUGAGAUUUGAAAAUCUUGAAAGCUUCAUUUUAGAAUGUUUGUCCAACUUUUAUGCUAAUUUUAAUUUGAUCCUUGUGAUUUAACUUUUUCACUUUAGUAUCUUAUGGUUUUCAUAUUAGAUAUUCAAUAUUUUCUAGUUUAGUUGUUAAAUAUAUACAUGAAGGGUAUUAGCAACGAAGAAAAUUUUGUUAUGUGGUCACUCACAAGCUGACACAUGGCACCAUAUUAACUAAACUGAUUAACUCAAGAAUUAACGAUAUUAGUCAAAAUCAAUUCUAACUAAAAAACAUUAAAUUAAAUUUAAAAACAAAAAAAAAAUCUCUGAUUUCUAAGGCAACAAAUUCUUCCUUUUUACUUCUCCUCUUCAUCAUUCUUCGUUUCCCCAAACUUUGUCCGCAUUUAAUCAAGAAUGGUAAGUUAUUUGUUGGCACCUUUCUUUGUCAUUUCUCUUCUCUUAGGUUUUCGGAACCAAGAUAGAGAAAACCGUAAUCAAGAUGACCUUUGUAUCUUCCCUAUAUUUCCUUUCUGCUUAGGGGGCUUUCAUUUUGACCCAACAAUUGAUUCUCAAUGUAUAUCUUUUGCUUAAUUAAAUUUUAGUUUUUGCUUGGGGUUUCCUUUUUUAAUUAAAUUGCUUCUCCAUGUAUAUCUUCUGCUUAAUGUAUAUCUUUUGCUACAAAAGCAUGAUACUUCAACAUACCUAAUGUCACACAAUCUUUAACUGAUUAGCAUAAUACUUCAAAUCAUUUAAUGCUACAAAUCAUGAACGCAUUGAUUCUGUAUUUGAUAAUCCACUAACUUCUAAAGUAAUAUUUAUAUGGUUAAUGUAUAUCUUUUGCUAUAAAAGCAUGGUACUUCAACUCACCUAAUGUCACACAGUCUUUAACUGAUUUGCAUAAUACUUCAAAUCGUUUAAUGCUGCAAAGCAUGAAGGCGUUGAUUCUGUAUUUGAUAGUCCACUAACUUCUAAAAUAAUAUCAUAUGAUUAUUUUUAUUAAUACAUAAUAUGCAAUUAAUUAAUUCAUAAUUUUCCAUGUUUGUUGAUGUAUUGUAUUGUUAUAAUAUUUUUAAUAUCAUUUUUAUUUAAAUUUGGAAUAAUUAUUGAAAUAAUUUUGAGUUAAAAAUGAAUUAAUUAGUAAAAUUUUGAUGUUGGUGAUAUUGUUAAGAAAAGAGCAAAAAAAAAACUGAAAAUAGAAGAAGAAGCCUAAAACCCAAGCCCAAAUAUUGAACAACCCAUCCUAGUAGCCACGUCAAAACCAAAAAAAAAAAAAAACAGGGAAAAAUAAUUACAGAAAGCAGAAGAGGAAAAUAAAGAAGCGGCUGAAGAGAAAAAAAAGAAAAAGAAAAAGAAUCAGCUAAGAAAGAAAAGGGGCUCAAAAGGAAAAAAAGUUCAAAAAAAAAAAGAAAGAGAAAACCCCAUCUCUUCUCUUGCAGCGGCCUAUUAAAAAAGGGAGGCAACAAAAAGGAAAAAAAAACAAAAGAAAAAGAGAGAAAACUUGCAAAGAGAGAGAGAUGGGAGCUAGAGAGAGAAAGCAGCAACCCAAUCUGCGAACUUAGUGAACGCAAGCAGAGGCGAAAGGAAGCAAAUGCGGUGGAGAGAGAGAGAGGAGCUGAGAAAAAUUUAGUAAUUUUAUUUUUAAUUAACUUAGUUUUGGGCAAACAGAUUUAGGAUAUUAUGAUGAAAUCUGAACGUUAGCAUUUGAGAUUAUUCAGAUGUUUAUUUUUAAUUAAUUACAUGAGUUAUUUUUUUUCAAAUACACUUUGUGUUGCUCAAACCACCAUGUCUAGCUAAAUUUCUUUCGUUAGAGUAAUUGUCGUAACCUGAAUCAAAGGUAAAUUUGCUUUUUAAUUUUUUAGCUUUCUCCUUAUUGCAAUUUAACAUUAUUGAACUUAAUUAGAUUGUGAAAAUUUGUCGGUUCAUAGUUUUAUAUGCGAUUGAUGGUUUUAUAAUUACGAGGGUGAAAUUUUAUCAAUUAAACAUAUAGUGUUAAACAUUAAUAGAGACUUGAAUAAGAGUAAUAUAGUCAAAUUAACGUGGAUCAAUUAAAUUAUUAGAGAUUUAAUUGAAUCAAAUUAAUAAUUGUUAUAAAAGGUUAACAGUUGUUAAUUGAUAGACCUAUGAAAUAAUAGAAAGAAAACCGAAAGUAUAUUAGAAUAUUUCGACCAUUACAGAUUAGAUUAAAUCGAUUGCGAAAUCAAAACGUGAAUAUAUCCAAGAUUCAUGUUAAUCAAUUACUCUAGUGCGUUUUCGUUGAUAAGUUUUUCUCAAUUUAAUUAUUCUGCUUUGAUUAAAUUAUUUAAAUGUUAUUUCCUGCAUAAACUUAAUUUUGAUUUCUAUAUAAUAAUAUAAUUUUUACAAUUUUGGUAUUUGGUACGUAAUAUCUGUGAUAUGAUAUUCUAUUCAUCACUUUAUUAUUUGAACAAUUUCUUACACUUGAGAAUUCACCUGUCGGUUGUUUAUGAUUUAAAAUUUGUAACAUAUGAAAAUAUUUAUAUGUUAUUCAUCUGCAUCAUAGUCGACAAUUUAUAUUUAAGCCAAAUACUACAUAUGUUGGAGGGGAAGAUGCGUUUGAUUGUUAAGAUGAAGAUUACUUAGUUUUAUUUACAUUUAGAGAUUUUUUUAAUAUCUUGGUGAUUAUAAAAGAUGUAGAAUUAUUUAUUUCAUCCAAUCUAAUUUAUGUUUUGAAUUAGAAUAAACUAAAAUAGGUUCAAAUAGUGAUGUUUAUUUUGUGAAAGAGUUUGUCAUAGGAAAUAUUGUUGAGCUAUAUUUAUCAACAAAUUCUAUACUUUUAAAUGUAAUGUAUGAUGAUGACGGUAGAACGACAAUAUACACCCUUUAGAAUGUGGACAUGCAUGAGUGUGAGAAUUUGGGUGAUGUAAACAUUCACAGGGGUGAGAACUCGGGGACUGCAAACAUGAAUGAGGAUAAUAAUUUUUUAUUAUUUUAAGGUUUAGAUGGUUUUUAAUUUUUUUUAUAUAAAUUUAAUUAUUCAAGUUCAGAUCAAGAUCAGAUUAGACCAUAACUAAUUUAAUUUAAUUUUAUUUAAUUUAGACUGAGCAACUAGGUAUAGUUUGUCUUUUCGGUCCAUAAUGAACUAUGCACAACCUAAUAACUAAAAUUGCAUACAUGUAAAAUAAAUUUAAUCGUAUAAUCUCUUAAAAUACUAAUAAUAUGAAAAAAUAUUAAUAAUUUUAAAUAGGAAAAUAACUUUUGUGCUAUUUUUAUUGUUUUGUUUAAACCCCCUAUAUUUUGUUCUUCUCUUUUUAAUUAACUCUUAUAUUUUAAAAUUUUUUUCCAAUAAAAAAUUUUCUUUCAAAAAGUUUAUGUAACUAUUAAAUCAAUGUCACAUGUGCACGUCAUAUAAGGUUGACUUCCUCACUACUAAAAUGAUGAAAUAGAGAUUUUUUAUAUCGUGUUCAAUGUUAGCAACACCUACUAACUAGUCAACGUUACACCAAACCAAUGAAGUAGAGAUUUUUUUCUAUGCCAUGCUCCAUGUCAACAACCUUAUACCAUUUCACAAUUGACGUAAUUUUUCGCUCACACAAACUUGAACCCCUCAAAUUAAAAAUUAAUAUUUUUCUUCUACACCACUGAAGACAAUGAAGUAAAGAUGGUAAUAAGCAAGAUUUCAUCACAUAAAAAUUCUAUACUUCUUUAAAUUACAUGACAAUACUUUUUUAAGUUGGAUUUAAUUUCAAAAAUGUAUAUAACUCCUCUUUUUUAUUCUCACCCAUAUAUGUAACGAUCUGCUUUCUCUGCUGAGAAAGAAGUGUUACCACAUAUAUAAAAACCUAAUAAACACGCAUCAAUAUGCUAAAAUUUUUAAUUCAAUCAUCCACUGUAUGCAGUUACAAUUUGUGAGUCUCACAAAAUCCUUAAGUUACAUUAUGAUAACAUAUUUAGAUCUAAAGUAGAAAAUAAAAUAUCUAAAAUUAAUAAACAUUUUUCAGAGUCUUCAUUUGACCUUAAAUAUGCUCUUGAUUCGAACUAAUCUGCUCUGAGGGGGUGUGAAUUAAGGUGAGCUUCAUGGGCUCAAUAAAAAAAGGGUAGUGCCCAUACAGAGGCAUGCAAACAACCAAUCAUACAAGUUUUAGGAAAACAAAUGCUGAUUUUAAAGCAAAAUACCCAAACAUGGAAAAUAAUACAACAAUAACAAAGUUUCUCAUUCUUCAUUCCACAUAUCAGUUUCUUUUUCCUUUGAUAUUGACCUCACAUAUCCCAAUCUCAUAUUCAUUAACAAAUUAUCAUUAGAACAUAUUCAUAAUCGGAAGCUAUACAUAUAAAUUAUAUGCGAAUGAUUCCGUAAAGAAUGAGAAAUGAGAUUUUUUUGAUAAAUGGGAAAAAUUUUAAAAAUAGUGUUUGUGGAUGGAAAUGAGGGAAAGUCUACAAUACCUGGGUUGAAUCAGAUAUAAUUUGAAGGAUUUUGUAGGUUUAUUAAUAAGUGUCAUGAUCAGAAAAGAUUUAUAUUUAAAUACCAUACACAUCCAUAAAAACACAUCACAUUUAUGUUCGGACAACUUGCGUUCUCAUGCAUAAACACAGUUACAUCUUAUCAAAUAUAUAACCAAAUGUAAUACAUGUAUUAGAUCAAUUCGUUUCUCUCUUCCGUUUGAUAUUUAGAGUUUCACAUACCUUUAGAUUUCACAAUGUAAUGCCUUUUUAACCAAUAUUAUUUAAUACAUAAGGAUCCCCUCUAUAUGUGAAUACUCAAAUAUUUCCAUAGCCAAUAAGUAAUCGUUAGUUAUCCUCAUACCCCAACCCAUGUGGGCGCCAUAAUUAUCAACCAUCCUCAUACCCUCAACCCGUAUAAGUGUCAUAACCAGUCGAUCGCCACCAUACUCUAACCCGUAUGGGUGCUGCUGUUAUUCCAUAUGUAUAAUAGGGUUUGCCCUGCAUAACCAAAAUACAAUCAUUAUAUAAUCAAAGCACAAAUGUGACCAUCAGCUGCCCAGACCACAAUCCAUUUGAGCGCCAUAAACACCUACCGUAUGAGUGCCAUAAACCAUACCCUAACUCGUAUGGGCGCCUUUGUUAUUUUGUAUCCACAGUAAGGUUUGUUCUGCAUAACCAAAACACAAUUAUUAUAUAAUCAAAGCAAAAAUAUUCCAAUGUUGUAUCUGUGAUAUUUAUUUUACUAAUCAAAUUCCAAUGUUGUACUUUUACUUUUGUCCUUAAUCUUUUUGUCCUUAAAAUUAAGAAAUCAUCCGUUUAUUUAGCUUCCAAUUUUGUUUCUCCAUUAAUUUUAUAGUUAAUUUAAAAUUUAAACAUUAAGCAAAAUAAAAUAUAAUUUGAAAUAAUAUUUUGACGUAAUUAAAAUUCAAUGAUAAAUACAACAUAAUAUCUGACAAUAGUUUAAAAUUCAAUGAUAAAUACAAAAUAAUAUUUCGCAAUAGUUAAUUUUAUAUUUAUGUAAUACUAACACAUUCUUGACAUUCCAAGUGCAACAAAUAUUCAAGGAAAAUGAAGUGAACUUUAAAACAUCAAGAAAAAUGUAAAGUGAAAGUUAAUUCAAGUAUGAGGUAUCAUGAAAGGAUCAAGUCAUGUAGUAAGAUUAAAAAGCAAACUAGUUAUCUGCCCUUUGGUAUGUAUGUCUCUUAAGGUCUGCCCUUUGGCAUGUUCUUUGUAACCGACAUUGGGGAACCACCAUGACCCACCAUGGAGGAGUCGGCUUUAGCCACACUCACAAUAACAGAUGUAGAAGAGGGUGGCUAGGAUAUCGUUGAUAUUGCACUGAACCCCCAUGAAUCCUAUGAUUUCUAUUUGGUUGGACGGUUUCUAACUAAAAUGGUUGUCAAAUUCAAAUUCAUGUGAAAUAAACUGGCCGGUGUGUGGCGUAAUGGUCCCGAAAAUUUAAAAAGAAUUGCAUAUAAUAAUUUUAGUGCGGAAGCGAAAUAAAGGUUAAAAUUAACAUCCCUUACAUGAUAACUCAAAAAUACUAACAAACAUCACAGAACAAAUUUUCUGAAGAAAAUACGAAAAAUAGAAAAAAUAAAGGAAAUUAAUAAGUAUCUAGGGUCUACUCGUAGCCUUCUUGCGGAUCGGGCUCGGGAACCGGGUCCUCAUGAUAUGAAAUUGUUAAAUAAAUGGUGAGCUACACUACCCCAGUAAGGAUAUCAUAAUAUAUCACCGUCACAGAAGCAAAAGUUGAUAGAAAAAUCAAAAACAACCAAUAGAGUACAAAUUUUAAAUAAAUUCAUUUAUUAAUAAUAAAACCAUUUACCAUUUACUUACCGCAGUGAGAUUUAUAAAAACAACCUAUGCAAACAAUAACAUUAUAAAUAUCAUGAAUUCAUAUAUAAUCUGCAACAUAGCAUAUAUCGUACACGUGAACCCUUUCCAUUAACAAUCUUAAUUCCAGGACCAUCCCCAUACCCUGUCCGGUAUGAGUGCCAAGACAUUAAACCUCAAUACCUCGUCCGGUAUGAGGGUGAAGCGGGUCGUUCCCAUACCCUGUCUAGUAUGAACGUCAAAUGACCAAGUCUCCAUACCCCAUCCGGUAUGAGACAACGUUCAUGGUAGGAUUCCCUAUGAACUCAGUCCGUCCACCAUCUCCUAAGAUAUCUAAUGAGGCUGUCAUCUUAUCCAUUUAUCAGAUCACAUCCCUUUCCUGUUUAUCCUUAAUCUCCGUUACCAAAUUAAACACAAUCACAUAAAUAAUGAACAUGUACCCGGUAAUACAAUCAUAUCUUAAAUCCCAAAUCACACAGUGGUCAAGUAAUACAGUAAUACAUGCAUUUAAAACUUUAAGACCAGAUACCAUCAUGCAUUUAAACUGUAAAAUAAAUCAACAGGAAUCAACAGAGAAUAAUGUCCGGUUUCGGGCUCCAUUAGCAAUCUGUAAUUAAAUAUGAAUAUUUAUCUAACCUAUACAAAAGACCGUAUUAUUAUUUAUUCAAACUUCACAUCUAUGACAGGAAAUAGGGUAAGGGGUCCUUACUUGAUUUGGCGCCAACAAUUAGAUGGUUACUGUGCUUACGGGCGGUCCCUAAGUUCCCUGAAUUAAACGCGCUUACGGUACCUACAAGUAUCCCAAAUAAACCCAUUCGGCUCAUUUUCUUCUCCCUCAAGUACGGGUCGGCUGGAUCAGGCAUUCGGGUCUUCCCGAUGGGUCUCAGUCGGCCCAUCUGCAGGGACUUGCGGCAUGGGCCGUAUGUUCUUCUCAGGUGCGAUGCCUACUAGCCCACGGAUUGAGCCUAGCAAGCGGUGUAGCAGGUUAGGUGACUCAGGUUUCCCCCUCACGGGUGCCUCUCCUCCAUGUGCGACCUCAGACACACCAUCUUCGUCGAGUGUGGGCUUUUUUACAAUUCUUCAAGUUCAUUAAUCUUACUUGGGCCUUUAAGUCUUUUAGCUUGAACAAACUUGGCCAAUCUCUUGGAAUAAUCUCAAUUAGGAAAGUAAUCCGGAAUGAAAUUACUUUCAUAUUCUGGGCAUUCCUCAUUGAUGUUAUAUUGCAUCUUUGGAACUAUUUUUUGAUUUUCUAGGAUCACAUCAUCUCCCCCUUCUUUAAAAAAUUUGUUCUCGAAUCUGGGCCUUCAUCACAAGGGAAAAAGAUUAGUGAUUGCAAUAGAAAACAUAUCAUACCUCCCAGGUAUGUUUGUUUUAUUGUUUAUGCACUUCAUGACUUGAUUAACAAUUCUUUUGGGAUCGGGAUCAAAUCUUUGUAGCCCACUUAUCAUGAUAAUUAUCUGUAAGAGAAAAACAAUACGAAUAUGCAAAGAGUGGUUAAGGUCAAAAUG
rnacentral:lncRNA from 1 species